GCUCGGGGGCGUGGCCAGGCCCUCCGAGGCCCGCCCACGGCCGGAGCUCCGGCCGGAUGGCCUAUCGGCCGGCCCCGCCUUCCUAUUUCUUCGCUGGCCCGGUCCCGGAGCUAAACCCUCUGCGUUAGCACUGAACUCAAGAGGAGCAGGGUCGAGGGCUACACACAAGAAUGGAGACCUGGCCUCUGAACGGGAGUAACGGCCCACAGUCCCCGCCGGUGGGAUCCCGGCAGCGAGUAAGUCGCAGCUCAGUUCCUUGCCAGCCGCUGGCCUAUGCCCUCUUAGCUUUUCUCAUCUCCACGACGAAUUAUGACGAAAUAGAAAAUUGGAAUGUAAGCCCCACUGGAGCAGGAACCUUAACUAAUGCGAACUUUUCUUCCUCCAGCACAGUAUCAUGCCCAGUGUGAAACCCAAGUGUGAAUUAAACGAAAUCCUGUCCUUCGUAGGUUUUUAAAUUG
rnacentral:lncRNA from 1 species